UACGAAGGGGGCUAGCGUUGCUCGGAAUCACUGGGCGUAAAGCGCACGUAGGCGGAUCUUUAAGUCAGGGGUGAAAUCCUGGGGCUCAACUCCAGAACUGCCUCUGAUACUGGGGAUCUUGAGUCCGGAAGAGGUAAGUGGAACUGCGAGUGUAGAGGUGAAAUUCGUAGAUAUUCGCAAGAACACCAGUGGCGAAGGCGGCUUACUGGUCCGGUACUGACGCUGAGGUGCGAAAGCGUGGGGAGCAAACAGG
rnacentral:rRNA from 1 species